rnacentral:rRNA from 1 species
UGGGGAAUAUUGGACAAUGGGGGAAACCCUGAUCCAGCAACGCCGCGUGAGGGAAGAAGGCCUUCGGGUUGUAAACCUCUGUCGAAGGGGACGAAACGGUCUUGGCUAAUAUCCAAGGCUCUGACAGUACCCUUAGAGGAAGCACCGGCUAACUCCGUGCCAGCAGCCGCGGUAAUACGGAGGGUGCAAGCGUUGUUCGGAAUUACUGGGCGUAAAGCGUGUCUAGGUGGGUUUGUAAGUCAGAUGUGAAAUCCCCCGGCUUAACCGGGGAGGGUCGUUUGAAACUGCAAAUCUUGAGUUUCGGAAAGGUGGGCGGAAUUCCCAGUGUAGCAGUGAAAUGCGUAGAUAUUGGGAGGAACAUCGGAGGCGAAAGCGGCUCACCAGCCGAACACUGACACUCAAGCACGAAAGCGUGGGGAGCAAACAGG